GAAGGUAUAGCUCAGUGGUAGAGCACGUGCUUAGCAUGCACAAGGUCCUGGGUUCAAUCCCCAGUGCCUCCA
rnacentral:tRNA from 1 species